rnacentral:rRNA from 1 species
GACGAACGCUGGCGGCGUGCUUAACACAUGCAAGUCGAACGGAAAGGCCCUGCUUUUGUGGGGUGCUCGAGUGGCGAACGGGUGAGUAACACGUGAGUAACCUGCCCUUGACUUUGGGAUAACUUCAGGAAACUGGGGCUAAUACCGGAUAGGAGCUCCUGCUGCAUGGUGGGGGUUGGAGAGUUUCGGCGGUUGGGGAUGGACUCGCGGCUUAUCAGCUUGUUGGUGGGGUAGUGGCUUACCAAGGCUUUGACGGGUAGCCGGCCUGAGAGGGUGACCGGCCACAUUGGGACUGAGAUACGGCCCAGACUCCUACGGGAGGCAGCAGUGGGGAAUAUUGCACAAUGGGCGGAAGCCUGAUGCAGCAACGCCGCGUGCGGGAUGACGGCCUUCGGGUUGUAAACCGCUUUCGCCUGUGACGAAGCGUGAGUGACGGUAAUGGGUAAAGAAGCACCGGCUAACUACGUGCCAGCAGCCGCGGUGAUAGGUAGGGUGCGAGCGUUGUCCGGAUUUAUUGGGCGUAAAGGGCUCGUAGGUGGUUGAUCGCGUCGGAAGUGUAAUCUUGGGGCUUAACCCUGAGCGUGCUUUCGAUACGGGUUGACUUGAGGAAGGUAGGGGAGAAUGGAAUUCCUGGUGGAGCGGUGGAAUGCGCAGAUAUCAGGAGGAACACCAGUGGCGAAGGCGGUUCUCUGGGCCUUUCCUGACGCUGAGGAGCGAAAGCGUGGGGAGCGAACAGGCUUAGAUACCCUGGUAGUCCACGCUGUAAACGGUGGGUACUAGGUGUGGGGUCCAUUCCACGGGUUCCGUGCCGUAGCUAACGCUUUAAGUACCCCGCCUGGGGAGUACGGCCGCAAGGCUAAAACUCAAAGGAAUUGACGGGGCCCCGCACAAGCGGCGGAGCAUGCGGAUUAAUUCGAUGCAACGCGUAGAACCUUACCUGGGUUUGACAUGGAUCGGGAGUGCUCAGAGAUGGGUGUGCCUCUUUUGGGGUCGGUUCACAGGUGGUGCAUGGCUGUCGUCAGCUCGUGUCGUGAGAUGUUGGGUUAAGUCCCGCAACGAGCGCAACCCUUGUUCACUGUUGCCAGCACGUUAUGGUGGGGACUCAGUGGAGACCGCCGGGGUCAACUCGGAGGAAGGUGGGGAUGACGUCAAGUCAUCAUGCCCCUUAUGUCCAGGGCUACACGCAUGCUACAAUGGCUGGUACAGAGAGUGGCGAGCCUGUGAGGGUGAGCGAAUCUCGGAAAGCCGGUCUCAGUUCGGAUUGGGGUCUGCAACUCGACCUCAUGAAGUCGGAGUCGCUAGUAAUCGCAGAUCAGCAACGCUGCGGUGAAUACGUUCCCGGGGCUUGUACACACCGCCCGUCAAGUCAUGAAAGUUGGUAACACCCGAAGCCGGUGGCCUAACCGUUGUGGGGGAGCCGUCGAAGGUGGGACUGGUGAUUAGGACUAAGUCGUAACAAGGUAGCCGUACCGGAAGG